AUUGAACGCUGGCGGCAGGCCUAACACAUGCAAGUCGAACGAGAGGCGGACGGGUGAGUAAUGUCUGGGAAACUGCCUGAUGGAGGGGGAUAACUACGGGAAACGGUAGCUACUACCGCAUACCAUCAGAUGUGCCCAGCUGGGAUUAGCUAGUUGGUGGGGUAACGGCUCACCAAGGCGACGAUCCCUAGCUGGUCUGAGAGGAGGAACAGCCACACUGGAACUGAGACACGGGCCAGACUCCUACGGGAGGCAGCAGUGGGGAAGAUUGCACAAUGGGCGCAAGCCUGAUGCAGCCAUGCCGCGUGUAUGAAGAAGGCCUUCGGGUUGUAAAGUACUGUCAGCGGGGAGGCGUUACCCGCAGAAGAAGCACCGGCUAACUCCGUGCCAGCAGCCGCGGUAAUUC
rnacentral:rRNA from 1 species